UACAGAGGGUGCAAGCGUUAAUCGGAAUUACUGGGCGUAAAGCGUGCGUAGACGGUUAUGUAAGUCAGAUGUGAAAGCCCCGGGCUCAACCCGGGAACUGCGUCCGAUACUGGGAGGCUUGAAUCCGGGAGAGGGAUGUGGAAUUCCAGGUGUAGCGGUGAAAUGCGUAGAUAUCUGGAGGAACACCGGUGGCGAAGGCGGCAUCCUGGACCGGUAUUGACGCUGAGGCGCGAAAGCUAGGGGAGCAAACGGG
rnacentral:rRNA from 1 species